AAAUUUUGGGCCGCCGGGGGCGAAUAAAAACCUUUUACACACAUUGUCUUAGUUUUUUUGAACUUUGCUUUGUGGUGGUGAGCCUGGCUUACUGCCCAAAGGUCUAAACACAUUUUUUUAAUGUUAAAACCUUUAACCAAUAGUCAUGAAAAUUUUUAACAAAAAUUAAAAUCUUCAAAACUUUCAACAACGGAUCUCUUGGUUCUCGCAACGAUGAAGAACGCAGCGAAAUGCGAUACGUAUUGUGAAUUGCAGAUUUUCGUGAAUCAUCGAAUCUUUGAACGCACAUUGCACCCUCUGGUAUUCCAGAGGGUAUGCCUGUUUGAGCGUCAUUUCUCUCUCAAACCUUCGGGUUUGGUAUUGAGUGAUACUCUGUCAAGGGUUAACUUGAAAUAUUGACUUAGCAAGAGUGUACUAAUAAGCAGUCUUUCUGAAAUAAUGUAUUAGGUUCUUCCAACUCGUUAUAUCAGCUAGGCAGGUUUAGAAGUAUUUUAGGCUCGGCUUAACAACAAUAAACUAAAAGUUUGACCUCAAAUCAGGUAGGACUACCCGCUGAACUUAAGCAUAUCAAUAAGCGGAGGAAGAGGAUCAUUAUAGUAUUCUAUUGCCAGCGCUUAAUUGCGCGGCGAUUAACCUUACACACAUUGUCUAGUUUUUUUGAACUUUGCUUUGGGUGGUGAGCCUGGCUUACUGCCAAAGGUCUAAACACAUUUUUUUAAUGUUAAAACUUUAACAAUAGUCAUGAAAAUUUUUAACAAAAAUUAAAAUCUUCAAAACUUUCACACGGAUCUCUUGGUUCUCGCAACGAUGAAGAACGCAGCGAAUGCGAUACGUAUUGUGAAUUGCGAUUUUCUGAAUCAUCAAUCUUGAACGCACAUUGCACCUCUGUAUUCAGAGGGUAUGCUGUUUGAGCGUCAUUUCUUCUCUCAAACUUCGGGUUUGGUAUUGAGUGGAUACUCUGUCAGGGUUACCUGUAAUAUUGACUUACAGAAGUUCUAUUAGCAUCUUCGAAAUAAGCUAUAGAUCGUCUUUAUAUCCUAGCAGAUUGAAGGUAUUUAGGCGCUACCAGUAACUUAACUGACCAACUCGGUAGGAUACCUGACCUAACUCAGUAUCGGCGAUGAAGUAAU
rnacentral:rRNA from 1 species